rnacentral:rRNA from 1 species
CAGCAGCCACGGGAAUACGGAGGGGGCUAGCGUUGUUCGGAAUUACUGGGCGUAAAGCGUACGUAGGCGGCUUUGUAAGUUAGAGGUGAAAGCCUGGUGCUCAACACCAGAACUGCCUUUAAGACUGCAUCGCUUGAACGUCGGAGAGGUGAGUGGAAUUCCGAGUGUAGAGGUGAAAUUCGUAGAUAUUCGGAGGAACACCAGUGGCGAAGGCGGCUCACUGGACCAUUACUGACGCUGAGGUGCGAAAGCGUGGGGAGCAAACAGGAUUAGAUACCCGCGUAGUCCCUGUCUCUUAUAC